UGCAAUAAACAAGACAGAAGACAGACCUCUUUCAUAAGGACACAUUCCUGGUUCCUGAGGGUGAGGGGAGUGAAGUGGCAGUGAGGAGAGAGGGGAACUACAUAAACAAAGAAAAUACAACCUAAAGAAGAGAUCAAGUAGCAAAAUACACUGGCCCUAAUGCCUCCAGCUUCUCCAGGAUUGGAGUGAACAUCAGCUCAGGACAUUUUCAAAGCUUUUUCCUCAAUCAGCAAGCUAAAUGAUACAACCAGAGGCUCCAUGACAGUCCCAAGGCACCAUCAAAAGACCAAAAAGUGGGAGUGGCCCAGUUCCUGGCAAUCUCCACUCCUUCCUCAAGAUGCUUCCCAAUGCCCACUUGACUUCACACUUCAGGAUGUCUGGCUCUAGGCUCCAAAAUCACUGCAAAUGGUGACUGCAGCCACGAAAUAAAAAGACACUUGCUCCUUGGAAGAAAAGCUAUGACAAACGGAGACAGAGUAAUAAAAAACAGAGACAUCACUUUGCCAACAAAGGUCCAUAUAGUCAAAGCUAUGGUUUUUCCAGUAGUCAUGUACGAAUGUGAAAGUUGAACCACAAAGAAAGCUGAGUGAAGAAGAAUUGAUGCUUUCCAACUCUAGUGCUGGAGAAGAUUUUUGAGUGUCCCUUGGACUGCAAGGAGAUCAAACCAAUCAAUUCUAAAGGAAAUCAACCCUAAAUAUUCAUUGGAAGGACUGAUACUAAAGCUGAAGCUCCAAUGCUUUGGCCACCUGAUGCAAAGAGCCAAGUCACUGGAAAAAGACCCUGAUGCUGGGAAAGAUUGAGGGCAGGUGGAGAAGUGGGUAAUAGAGGAUGAGGUGGUUGGAUGGCAUCAUCGACUCAAUGGACAUGAAUUUGAGCAAACUCCAGGAGAUAGUGAAGGACAGGGAAGCCUGUUGUGCUGCAGUCUAUGGGGUUGUGAAGAGUUGGAUACAACUUAGCAACUGAACAACGACAACAAAGUUUCCUGUCACUUAAAUCUGAAAAUGUCAUGCUAAUACAAUAGCGGUACUAGAACACAUGGGAGGUUUUACAAGUCAAUCUCAGUAAAAGAGAAUGACAUAUAAUGUCACGCAGUGUGUAAGAACAGGCCAUGAGAAGAUCUCUAUUAUUAACAACUAGUUCUACCCUAUCAACUAUGAAAAUAUGGAAAUAUUCAUAAUGUUUAUGAAGAACUCUUCUAGGAUUACAGAAGUCUUGUGCUCUAACUUGGCAUUAUCAGGACAGACCCAGAGCACCAAUUCAUAAGUCAGCUUAAAAUCCAGAACGAAGUCAAAUCCCUUACU